rnacentral:misc_RNA from 1 species
AAACUGCGAUAAGUAGUGUGAAUUGCAUUUAGUGAAUCAUCGAAUCUUUGAACGCACCCUGCACUCACUGGUAUUCCGGUGAGUACGCCUGUUUCAGUAUCAUUGAAAACACACAAUCAAAACAUUUUCUUUGGUUUGAUUGGCUUUGGGUCUAUCAAAAAGUUUGGCUUGUUUCUUACAAGCCAAGCGGCCUGAAAUAUAUUGUCUGGCUAAUUGCAUCGUUGAUGAUCGCUAUUAGACUUUGGCUUUUUUAAAUGAACUGGAGGUUGAUUAACCAGUUUUAGCUUUAGUCAAAUGGUCAUUGUAAAAAAAAUCUCGAUCUUGGCCAGGUGUUUAUAGCCGAAAAUUUUUUUUUGGCUACAACCGAAACCAAUAUAAUCACAUUUAGUUAUCGAUCUGAAAUCAGGUGGGACUACCCGCUGAACUUAAGC